rnacentral:rRNA from 1 species
AUUGAACGCUGGCGGAAUGCUUUACACAUGCAAGUCGAACGGCAGCACGGACUUCGGUCUGGUGGCGAGUGGUGAACGGGUGAGUAAUGUAUCGGAACGUGCCCAGUCGUGGGGGAUAACGUAGUGAAAAUUACGCUAAUACCGCAUACGAUCUAUGGAUGAAAGCGGGGGAUCGCAAGACCUCGCGCGAUUGGAGCGGCCGAUAUCAGAUUAGGUAGUUGGUGGGGUAAAGGCCCACCAAGUCAACGAUCUGUAGCUGGUCUGAGAGGACGACCAGCCACACUGGAACUGAGACACGGUCCAGACUCCUACGGGAGGCAGCAGUGGGGAAUUUUGGACAAUGGGCGAAAGCCUGAUGCAGCCAUUCCGCGUGCAGGAUGAAGGCCCUCGGGUUGUAAACUGCUUUUGUACAGAACGAAAAGGUUUCUACUAAUACUAGGAGCUCAUGACGGUACUGUAAGAAUAAGCACCGGCUAACUACGUGCCAGCAGCCGCCGUAA